rnacentral:rRNA from 1 species
UACAGUGGCGUACGGGUGAGUAACACGUGGAUGAUCUACCUUUUAGUGGGGAAUACCGUUGGGAAACCGACGACAAUACCGCAUAAUCCCGAGAGGGGAAAGCAGCAAUGCGCUGAAAGAGGAGUCCGCGGCUGAUUAGCUAGUUGGUAGGGUAAUGGCCUACCAAGGCAACGAUCAGUAGCCGGCCUGAGAGGGCACACGGCCACACUGGCACUGAAACACGGGCCAG